AUCACGGCAUUUUGUUUAUGUUUCAAAAGUUAUUAGGUGCAUUAAGUUUACUGUUUUUAUCCUACAUAGCUUCUUAAGCAGCAAACAAGAAAUAACGAAGAAGAGAUGGGCCAACAUUGAACAAAGCAAAAUAGAGAAAUCAGUUGCUUCAUGGCUGCCACAGACACAAUUAAAAACAAAGACUUAGAAAGGGGCAGGGUGUCAAAGAGCACCUGAAGAACAGGAAGAUGAGGAUCAUGAAGCCGCCGACGCUUGAAUGAUGUGUAAAUAAUGUAUUGUCAGAGUGUCUACGAACCGGGAAAUCUGGGAAUGAACUUAUUUUUUUACUGAAAUGUUCUGUUUUUAGUAAAUAUGGGUAAUUUUUAGUGGUAAUUGUCCUUAAAUAAUUGUGUGGGCCAUUUUAAGUAUGACAUAAAAAUUUGUUAGAAGAACAUAAAAGGUUUUUUAUAAAAUGUUUGCUUACAUUUUCAUCAUUUAUUACUAUAGAGUAAUUAUGCAAUAGAAACCACAUU